rnacentral:rRNA from 1 species
AAAUUGAAGAGUUUGAUCAUGGCUCAGAUUGAACGCUGGCGGCAGGCCUAACACAUGCAAGUCGAGCGGAAACGAGUUAUCUGAACCUUCGGGGAACGAUAACGGCGUCGAGCGGCGGACGGGUGAGUAAUGCCUAGGAAAUUGCCCUGAUGUGGGGGAUAACCAUUGGAAACGAUGGCUAAUACCGCAUGAUGCCUACGGGCCAAAGAGGGGGACCUUCGGGCCUCUCGCGUCAGGAUAUGCCUAGGUGGGAUUAGCUAGUUGGUGAGGUAAGGGCUCACCAAGGCGACGAUCCCUAGCUGGUCUGAGAGGAUGAUCAGCCACACUGGAACUGAGACACGGUCCAGACUCCUACGGGAGGCAGCAGUGGGGAAUAUUGCACAAUGGGCGCAAGCCUGAUGCAGCCAUGCCGCGUGUGUGAAGAAGGCCUUCGGGUUGUAAAGCACUUUCAGUCGUGAGGAAGGUGGUGUAGUUAAUAGCUGCAUCAUUUGACGUUAGCGACAGAAGAAGCACCGGCUAACUCCGUGCCAGCAGCCGCGGUAAUACGGAGGGUGCGAGCGUUAAUCGGAAUUACUGGGCGUAAAGCGCAUGCAGGUGGUUUGUUAAGUCAGAU